CAGUAAUGAUUUUGUUUCACAUUGGUAGCGCAAAAGGGGGAUGGUUAAUUUUUUACUACAACUGAAUCAAAUGAAGAAUAGCAUUACUUUUUUUUUCAGUAAACUGAUAUGGCGGAACUUUGCCGUUUAUGUAGUUCUACUAUUCCACACACUAAGAAUCAUUUGCCAUAUGAUAAAUCAAGAUUUUCAAGGGAUAUAAAACUUGCCUUAAAAGUUGAUAUAGAACAAGACACAACUAGUCAUCCACAGUAUAUUUGUGAGUCAUGCAGAAUGAAAUUAAGGCGCUGGAGAAAGAACUUUAAUAAUCGGAAAGUAAAUUUAAAGCCGAUUAAUAUCAAUGUAAACUAUCAAAUAUCUAACACUGCUGAAAUUAAUUGGGAACAAAUUCAGCAACACGCAGUCAACCUUGGAUUCACUCUUUGUAAUGACAGCAGUCGUAGAUAUUUUAUGAAAAUUAAUGAUGGGGAGGUGCAGUUUUCACUUCAGUUUGAAAACAACGGAGAAUACACUUUGAAGGUUUUGGGUCAUGUUGUGAAUGACCAAUCUCUGUACAGUUUUCCACUGACUUCAACAAAGCAUAUAACAAAUGCGCUUGCGAUAUUAGGUUCCAAAAAAUUAUGCAUGGGAAAUGAUGAUUUUGAAGAUGUCUGCAGAAACCGUAAUGCAGAAAAUCUAGCCACUUUUGUCAAUGCCGAAGGAGAAACAAGUGCAUUAGAAGAGCUCUACAAAAAUAGAAAACUAGUAAGAACUGUUAACUGUUUACGACUUUGUGCUGCAAGUGAAGACAGAUGUAAUGUUUGUCAAAUGUAUAGAACAUUUCUAUAUAUGUGUAGAACCCGGCUGCGUUCCGCCAUGUCAAAACCCAAACUGACACAUAGACUAGAUUAUAUGAAUUCAAACAUGUUACGAGAAAGAUGUCUCAAUUCACGUGAUGAAAUUAGAGGCCUGAAGAGAAGGAUUAAUGCUCUGGUUGAACAGAUACAUACUGACUGUACUAAAAAUGGCAUUGAACUGGAAGAUGGACUUUCAACAUCAUUUGUUAAGAUAAUGCAGGACAACAAAAAUGCUGCGCUACAGAACUUCCAGGAGGGUUCCAUACAACAUCUUCUAUGGCAGCAGCAGCUUGAGGCAGCAACACAAAUAGACUCGAGGCAAAUGAGAUGGCAUCCCAUACUUUUACGAUGGUGCAUCGCACUUCAUGCCAAGUCACCUUCAGCAUAUAAGAUGAUGAAAAACAGCAAAAUCCUAACUCUUCCUUGCGAAAAUACUCUAAGAGAUUAUACAAAAUUCACAGAUGCUGGUAGUGGAUGGAAUUCAGAUGUAAUUGAGAGAAUUAUAAUGGAUCAUGAAGUUGAUGAAAACGCUUUGAAAAGUGAAGUGAGCUUGCUCUUUGAUGAAGUUAAAAUAAAAUCAGGACUGGUCUAUUGUACUGAAACCGGGAAAUUAAUAGGAUUUUGUGACUUAGGAACAGUGAAUAACGAACUCUAUGCUUACAAUGCCAAAGAAAAAAGAGUACCAGAACUAGCAACACAUAUUUUAGCGAUCAUGAUAAGAGGAAUAUUUAGCCGUAUAGAAUGUGUAGUAGCCCACUACCCAUGCAAAGGGUUUAGCAGCGAUCAACUGUUUGUUUCAAUAUGGGAAGGUGUUGGCCUAUUAGAGGGUUAUGGUUUUAAAGUAAGGGCUUUGAUCUGUGAUGGUGCAACACCGAACAGGAAAUUCUAUAGGUAUCACGGCAAUGGUCAGGAUAUUUGUCACCGAACAGUUAAUCCAUUCAAUCGUAAAAGACAUUUAUACUUUAUAUGUGACACGCCACACCUUCUCAAGACCACUAGAAAUAAUUUUGAAAACUCUGGAUGGAACAACAAAACAAGAAAUUUGCAUGUGAGUUCAAAUUGAUUAUGCAGAGCUAGUUUUUCUAAUACUUCAUAGCAACUUUUAAAUAUAUUAUCUUCGAUUAAAAGCAACAUGCUUUUACUUUUCUUUUUUUUUUAAAUACUAGGAGUCGUUAAAUAAAUAUGUCAGAAAAAAACAUCGCAAAAUAUAGCAGAUCUGACCUCAACACCAAGAGUGUGAAUAUAUAUUUAUAUGUAUAUAUAAAGUGCCUAGAAAAUCAAUCAAAGAUUUAGAUUUGAUUCUUUACUUCCUCUUGCGGCGGGGCUGGAACCUGCACUUUUAUUUUAAUAUGUAAACUUGUAUAAACUAUGACUGUCUCUAUUUAUAUUUCAGUUUAAUGGUUUACCAAUUAAAUGGUCUCAAAUUGUUCGCCUAGUUGAAGAUGAUAUUCAUGGUAUGGGUUUGAGGCUUUUGCCAAAGCUGACAUAUGAACAUAUUCAUCUAACACCUACUCUUAGAAUGCGUGUGAAGCUUGCUGUCCAGGUAUGUUUUUGAAAUCUGUUAAACAGUGCACAUAAGCAUCGACAAUGCAUUUAUAAAAUUUAUAUAAAGUUAAUGGUUAAUCAUUUGAUUUCUUUCUCCUUUUUUGUCUAAAUACAUAAUACAAAUUUAAUUUCUUUAAAUAAAAGACAAUCAGCACCCCCCCCCCUUCCACAAACUUCACAUGGAAAUUAAUUCAAGGAGAUGUGGGAUAUGCAUCAAUUGGACAACAACCAAACGACAUAAAGAAACAAAGAAAGAAAUCUGAAUUCCAACUGGAUUUUUUUUUCAUUUAGAUUAUUGUCUUAUACAUUUAUAAAAGCUUUUGUCAUUCAAUUAAUAUCAUUUAUAACUUAUUGCCAUGUUUACUUUUAUUGAAGGUAUUGAGUGGUAGUGUGGCCGCUGCUUUGCAACUACAGAAUCGGGCUGAAACAAAGUCAACUGAAACUUUCAUCCGCAUGUUUGACCAAUUUUUUGACUGUUUGAAUGUCAACAACAUAACAAAUGGGACAUACCAUAGGAAACCAGUAUUAUGCACAUAUACAGAUGUCAAUGAUUGGAGAUUUAAGGUACUUAUAAUAUUUCAAAUCAAUCGAAUACUGUUUAAUGUAAUAUAGAGUGAGGAUCUACAUUGUAAGUUUUUUUAUUGACGAGAAACACUUACCAUUUUUUGCGUAUGAAAAUGAUUAAAUGAGGAUUUUCAGAAUUUAACAAACCAAUAAUUUAAAUUGUUUUUUUUUUCCCAGUGGCUCAUUGAUGAAUUUUUGGGGUUCCUGGAACGUUGGGAAAUGGAAGGGCAACUACACAACAAUCUGACAGCCAAAGAAAAAAAACAGCUCUGCCUUAGUCGAGAAACAUUGGAAGGACUGCGUAUUACAGGUAAAAAGGAAUGCUACAUUAAACGUUUAUAUCCAUGUCAUAUAAAUAUCUUCACGUUCUGAUUAUGCAUUUAAUUUGCCACUGGACAACAGUUGUUUGAUCUUCAAAUUGUUUAAAAUUAGUUAGAUAAUUUUUCUGUUUAAAAUUUAAUUAAUUACAUAAUGAAAAGAAAGAAAGAAGUGACCAUUUAAAAAUAUAGAUUGUAUCUCAUAGGUGCACCUUGUCUCAUUCACUUUUCAAGUCUUAAAAUAAUUUUUGAUAUUAAACUUUGUUCCUUCAUUUUUCAGUGAAAUCGUUUGUAAUGCUUGGAAAAGAAAUGUUAUCACUACCUGGUGUGCAUUUUCUUUUGAGUGAAAAAUUUAAUCAAGAUCCCCUGGAGCAAUACUUUAGCAAACAACGAGGAAUGGGAGGAUUUUGUGACAACCCGACUGUACGCCAAUUUCAGCACAAUGCCCUUCGACUUCAGGUCUCUGGUGCUCCAAGCGUGCUUGCUGCUAGCAGGGGGAACUGCCAAGUUUUUCAUAAUGGACAAUUUAAUGCAUCAACAUUGCAAAGGAGGAAACAUAAUAGACAAUAA
rnacentral:sRNA from 1 species